GCCUACGACCAUAUCACCCUGAAUGCGCCCGAUCUCAUCUGAUCUCGGAAGCUAAGCACUGUCGAGUCUGGUUAGUACUUGCAUGGGAGACUGCCUGGGAAUACCAGGUGUUGUAGGCU
rnacentral:rRNA from 1 species